UACGAAGGGGGGCUAGCGUUGCUCGGAAUCACUGGGCGUAAAGCGCACGUAGGCGGAUUUUUAAGUCAGGGGUGAAAUCCUGGAGCUCAACUCCAGAACUACCUUUGAUACUGGGAAUCUCGAGUCCGGAAGAGGUGAGUGGAACUGCGAGUGUAGAGGUGAAAAUUCGUAGAUAUUCGCAAGAACACCAGUGGCGAAGGCGGCUCACUGGUCCGGUACUGACGCUGAGGUGCGAAAGCGUGGGGAGCAAACAGG
rnacentral:rRNA from 1 species